GGGGAGAGUGAUCUUCUUUACGGUUUAUUGAUUCAAAUGCUAAUCUCUGGACUUCACUGGAGGUCCAGUGGUUAAGAAUCCGCCUGCCAAUGCAGAGGACACUGCAGCAUUCAUUCCCAGCAUCAGGGUCUUUUCAAUCAGUCGGCUCCUCACAUCAGGUGGCCAAAGUUUGGAGUUUCAGCGUCAGUCCUUCCAACGAAGCACAAUUUGAAAGCAUCAGUUCUUCAGUGCUCAGUCUUCUUUAUGGUCCAACUCUCACAUCUGUACAUAACUACUGGAAAAAACCAUGGCUUUGACUCUAUGGACCUUUGUCAGCAAAGAGAUGUCUCUGCUUUUUAAUAUGUUGUCUAGGUUUGUCACAGGUUUUUCUUCCAAGGAGUAAGCUUCUUUUAAUUUCGAGACUGCAGUCACCCAUCCUCAGUGAUUUAUAUACACUACUUUGUACAAAAUAGAACACUAAUGACAACUGACUGUAUAUAGUGCAGGGAACUCUACUCAGUGACAUAAAUGGGAAGGAAAUCCAAGGAAUACAGGAUAUAUGUAUACGAAUAGCUGAUUCAGUUUGCUAUACAAUGGAAACGAACAACAUUGUAAAGCAACUGUACUCCAAUAAAAUAAAAGUAAUGAAAUAUCCAUAAUAGUGCAAAUGUCUCAUAUAUGAACCAAGCCCCCACUUCAUUUCUACACAUCCUAAGCAAUUCUCCUUUUUUUGGCCGCAGAGUGCUGCAUGCAUGAUCUUAGUUCCCCAAACAGAGGUCAAACUCGGGCCCCACAGUCUUCAGCACUAGACCACCGGGGAAGUCCCCAUCCUAUGCAAUUCUGCGCAUUGAGUGCCAUGCCCAACCCCAGCCCAGGCUAAUCAGGUGUCCCUCCCCCGCUGCCUCAGGAAUGGAGGCCAGAGAAAAAGGAAAGGAGAGAGGUCACUUUUAGCCCUUACACUCAAAACAGGCUUCUGAAACUCAGCACAGAUGUCUCAGGUUGAGACAGAGUUCUUGAGCCUCAGAGUCUGACUGUAAGAUCAUGGCGGGGGAGGGGGGGUUCUCUCCUGUAUCCCAUCCCCCAACCUUUUUAUAGAGCAGGGAGGGUGGAGAAGUGAUCAGCCAAGUCCUUCCCCUCUCGGUGCCUCUGUUUCCUCGUCUGUCAAGGGGCACAGUCACAACCAGCUGAUGAUAUGUUGAGAGGAUAAAAUGAGUUUAUUCAUGGUAAGCAGUUAGAACAGGGCCAUACCUAGUAAAUAAUAAGUAUCUUGAUCAUUGCCAUCAUCAUGGAGGAAUGGCCCGUCUGAGGCAAUGUCCCCGAGUUCCCUGCAGCCCCAGAGUAGGAAAAGACACCAUCCAAAAGUUUCUCAGGUCCCAGAGAGAGAUAGAUAGGCCUCCCUGAGUAAGCCGGCAGGGCUGUGCAAUGACCGAGGAGGGCCAGACCCCCGGACACACCACAGGACCUCAGAACUUAAGAGAUGCCCGGCAGGAAAGAAAAAAAAAAGCUGACUAGAAAACCUGAACCGACCAGGGUUUCCCUGGAAUGGCUACAGUUCUGCCAUCAGCCACUAUCAGAAGCUAGUCCAUUUUCUGCUUUGACUGCGAGCAACAAAUCCAUUUCAAGGGGGAAAUGCAUGCAUGCUGCUUUGUCCCUUUCCUUUCUCCAGGGCUGGCCUCCCUGGCUGCUUUGCUGGACAAGGAUUGCCACCUGCAGAUCCAACGGGGCCGAUUCAGUGGGGAGUCGAGACUAAAGUCAGCCUUCACUGGGCCUCCUGGCCCCACUGACCCCUGAGACAGAGACCUGAACAUCUGAGCACUUUGAUCUCACGCCAGUCUCACUCAAGGCCGCUCCAUGUUCCCUCCACCGCCCUUCCCUUUCCUCCCGCUUCCUGCUCGCCUUUCUCGGGAACUGCCUCUCCCUCCAGAUGCAGUUCUUGACCUUGUCCCUGCCACAGACUCCUGCCCUAGUGCUCCAGGCAGCUUGGCAGGGCCCGGCCAGCUCUGUUCCAGGAGAGCCAUGUGGUGCGGCUGGCCGGCUCCUCACCCCUGCGGCCUCGCAGUGCUGCCCGCUGGGCCAGGCCAGCUCCGCCAGGACACCUGGGAGCAAGCCAUCUCUGAUCUGACAAGAAGAGGUUGUGAGAAGGCCUGACACCACUCUCUGGAGAGCGGCCCGUUCAUUCAUGGAUUCAGCGAGCCGUCCCGGAGGCCAGGUGGCCAGAGCUGAGCCGGUUUUCGCCCCACCAGUGCCGGCUGGGCUUGGAGCCUGGAUUCAGUGCCCUGUGCCCAGGCACCAGGGGCUGGGUCUCAGGGCAUCAUAGAUGGAAUGUAGAAAGGCUGAAGGCCUAUUGCAUGGAAAUGAGCAGAAAGAAAGGAGUUUCUCCCACGCACCCUACCAGAACCAGCAUUGGCCGGGGGCCAGAGGCAGAUGACCCCAGUCCCAAGCCUUCCUCCUGCCCACAGAGAGCCACCCGGAGUCCCCCAGCCCUCCCCUGGGCAGGCAGGAGCCCCCAAGCAGAACAAGGUCUAUGGGGAGCCCCCAGGUGCAUGUGAAGCUGUCUGAAAUGCUUCUGGGUGGGGAUUCAGGCUCUGGCAAAGACUAAAGCCACCUGAGGAAAAGAGAGAAGAGUGGGGAACAAGUAUUUCUGGAGUGAUUUAAACCAGGGGUCCCCAACCUCCGGGCCAUGGACUGGUAUCUCCUGUCAGAUCAGCGGCAGCAUUAGAUUAGAAAUAAAGUGCGCAAUAAAUGUAAGGCGCUCGAAUUACCCAAAAAACCAUCCCUCUCCUCCCGGUCCUUGAAAAAAUUGUCUCCCAUGAAAUCUGUCCCUGGUGUCAGAAAGGUUGAGGACUGCUGACUUAAACCUCUGGACACACAGCAGCCACUGGCCCCAGGUAGCCUUGGGGCAUUUGGGUCCUCACUCCUUCAGCUGCUUCUCCCACCCCCAAACCCCACCUGGGAGCCUGUGUCCCUGCCUUCACCCCUAGGCUCUUCCUAUCUCUCAGGGCAAGGGUCAGCAGCCAACUCCCCAAGGGGCUUGGGCUCAGCCUGCCCUAGCCAUCUGUGAGUUGUGGCUAAUGGCCGGGCACUCAACUCACAAAGGGAGCUGUUCCCCACUGUGGAGGGCUAAUCACUUCAGGCUGAAGUGGAUUAAUCAUUAAGGACCCCCACACACACCCACAGGAUUGGGGCUCCCUCCCUGAAGUGACCAGGCCCCUCUGUGUGUCCUGCUGCUGCUACAGAGAGAGGAGAAUAGGAAGAGGGCCUUGGGUUUCCAAGGCUCCGAAAAGGCGCUCCCAGAUUCAGACAUGGCACCUCGUCUACCCCACUGUGCUGGAGUCACUUUCUCAGUAUCUUUUCCUAUCAUAUGGGCUUAGGCUUUGAACCACGUGACAGGAUUACCGAUUUAGAAAACAAGAAACUUGCGUUUAAAAAUCACCAAGGCCAAACAUGCAUGUGCACACAACCUCGCCAGUUGCCACAGACAAAAUGAUCCAAAGCUCCGGCUGCAAAGGUCAGACUAGCCAUUCCCACUGACUUCCUGCUGGACCUGACAUCCACAUUCAGGCUUUCUAGGCCUGCCUUCAAGCCUCAGGCAACCAGGCCCCACCACGCUCCAGC
ensembl:lncRNA